rnacentral:ncRNA from 1 species
GAACUGAAGAGUUUGAUCCUGGCUCAGAUUGAACGCUGGCGGCAUGCCUAACACAUGCAAGUCGAACGCGAAAGUCCUUCGGGGCGAGUAGAGUGGCGGACGGGUGAGUAACGCAUGGGAAUCUACCUCGACGUG